rnacentral:rRNA from 1 species
GCGAAGCUAACGCGAUAAAUGCGCCGCCUGGGAAGUACGGUCGCAAGAUUAAAACUCAAAGAAAUUGACGGAGGCCUGCACAAGCGGUGGAGUAUGUGGCUUAAUUCGAUGCAACGCGAAGAACCUUACCUGGCCUUGACAUGCAAGUAGUAGAACCAUGAAAGUGGGACGAGCCCGCAAGGGCAGCUUGCACAGGUGCUGCAUGGCUGUCGUCAGCUCGUGUCGUGAGAUGUUGGGUUAAGUCCCGCAACGAGCGCAACCCUUGUGUCCUGUUGCCACUCCUUCGAGAGAAGGAAGCACUCUGGACAGACUGCCUCGCUUAAACGAGGAGGAAGGUGGGGAUGACGUCAAGUCAGUAUGGCCCUUACGGCCAGGGCUGCACACGUACUACAAUGCAUGGCACAAAGGGACGCUAGACCGUCAGGUGGAGCAAAUCCCAUAAAACCAUGCCCAGUUCAGAUUGUCGUCUGCAACUCGACGACAUGAAGCCGGAAUCGCUAGUAAUGGCGCAUCAGCUACGGCGCCGUGAAUACGUUCCCAGGCCUUGUACACACCGCCCGUCACAUCAUGAAAGCCGGUUGUACCCGAAGUCCAUGUUGCUAACCGCAAGGAAGCAGUGGCCGAAGGUAUGGCUGGUGAUUGGGAUGAAGUCGUAACAAGGUAGCCGUA